CUAUUGGCCACUGUUUGUUUGAUUUCCAAUCAAAUUCAACAAAAAACAAUCCAUUUGCGAUUUUUUUCAACAACACUAGACUAUUACCCCCUGGAUACAAGCGAUAUUUGUUGAAAAUUUCCCAGAAUAGGAUACUAUUUGGCGUUGUUUUUUUUAAUUCAAUUUUUUUUUCGUAGGAAAAAACUUUGUUCCGUUUUAUAGAUUAUGAUUAUGAUGAUUGUGUUUGUUUAUCAAUUGAACAAUGAUGGCCAUGGCUGCUGUCACUUGAAUGAAAAAGAAAAAAAACUUUAAAUCAACCAAUUAUUGAUUGAUCAUCGUUCAUCAUUCAUCAUCUUAUCAAUAUGAAAAAAAACGAAUGAAAUCUACAUCUGAAUAACAAAGACAAGAACAUUAUUCCUUGUCUAUAUAUACGUGUUUUUGUGUGUGUGUGUGUUGGUUUUGAGGUUGGAUGUGUGAUUUUUUUUCUUUUUACACAUCAAUAAACGUUUGACAGUGUGACACCAAAUUGUACUUUGUAAAUUUUGGACAUUUGUCAUUUCUUUUUCUUCUUCUUCUUCAAAUUUUCGUUCAACAAUCAUCUAGAACACAAAAAGAGAAAUUUUCUGUAUUCUUUUGUGUGUCUGUGUGAUAGUAGUCAAUAUUUAUUCGGAUAAAAUAAAUGGUGAAACAAAAAAAUCAACUUUUUUUUUGGUGAUCAUAUCAUAUCAACAUCAUCAUCAUCAUCAUUAUUAUCUUAAAUUAUUCAUCUUUUUCCCAAUUCAUAUAUUUAUUUAUAAAUAUAAAUAUAAUGUAUGUAGUCGAUACAAUAACAAGAUGCCAAAUUUGCCGUUGUUGUUGCUAGUUGAUGGUGAUUGAAUCAUUCAUCGUUUAGACAUCGACAAAAUUGCUCGUCCACAAAGAUCAUCAUCAUUGCUUCAUAAUAGAUAGAUCGAAACAAAAACAAUUUUUUCUGGAUAAAUGUCGACAAUUAUUCACCGUCAUUCAACAACAACAACAACAACAUUGCCAUCAUCGAUUAAUUUAAACGAUUACAAUGCUGUUAACAUUGACAACGAUAUCAACAAGAAUCAUUUUGAACAAGAUUCAAACAACAAUAAUUCCAAUGUUAUUAAUGAUAAUUCAAUUCUUCAAGAUGAUCGAUUCCAUCAACAACAACA